GAUGAAGAACGUAGCGAGAUGCGAUAAGUAAUGUGAAUUGCAGAAUUCAGUGAAUCAUCGAAUCUUUGAACGCACAUUGCGCCCCUUGGUAUUCCGAGGGGCAUGCCUGUUCGAGCGUCAUUACACCACUCAAGCUAUGCUUGGUAUUGGGUGUCGUCCUUAGUUGGGCGCGCCUUAAAGACCUCGGCGAGGCCUCCCCGGCUUUAGGCGUAGUAGAAUUUAUUCGAACGUCUGUCAAAGGAGAGGAACUCUGCCGACUGAAACCAUUAUUUUUACAGGUUGACCUCGGAUCAGGUAGGGAUACCCGCUGAACUUAAGCAUAUCAAUAAGCGGAGGA
rnacentral:misc_RNA from 1 species